CCCGCGCUGGGGACGGAACUUGCCGAAAGCCUUCGGGUUUCUUCGCCCGAGGCGGACGGGUUCCGCCGGGAGAGGGAAAGCGAAGGCGGGCUGAGCCCGGCGCCGGGAGGAGUUGUCUAAACCCCAGCGCGGCGUUCGGAUCGAUAAAACUGGCGGCGGAAAUUUGAAGGAGGAAGCGGGGUUUGUGUGUGGCCCAGUGGGGGAAUUCCCGACGGGUGUCGGCGACUUGGUGGAAACCCCCACGCAGGAGACGUGUCUUUAGGAAGCAGAGAGUGUUCAAAUCUGGACUCCGCCCAUGACUCACUUCUCUUGUAAAGAACUGUCCUUCCUGGUACUCCAGGUUUAUGGGAUGCAGGCUAAUGGAGAAUGCUCUAUCUGGGACACUGCUAGUCUUAUGACAGAGGGAGAAGACAGCGAUGCUGUGAUCUGGAAAGCCAUGUGCUGAGACAGUGAAGCCAUUGGAUGGAUGCCUCCUGGUUUACUGAGUUCCCAAAGAGAGGACAGAUGCUAGGGAGUUGCCCAAUUGCCAUAGCACUCGUGUGAGCAAGAAAUUGAACUUUGACAAACAUACUGAAGUCCCAAUCAGUUACAAAGACGUAAUAGGCCGCAUUAUGCGCAUCCACAAAUACAUAUAUACCUCCAAGUCUGUAGGAAAAAAAGAGUUUCCGGCUACCUCCGGUAUGGUUUUCUGUUUAAAACAUUUUUCUUAAUUUGUUAAUUCACUGUCGCUUUAGAAAGAUGGUAAGAUGAAG